UUAGGCCUACGGGACGCAGCAGUGAGGAAUAUUGGUCAAUGGUCGGGAGACUGAACCAGCCAAGCCGCGUGAGGGAUGAAGGUACAGAGUAUCGUAAACCUCUUUUGUCAGGGAACAAAGGCGGGGACGCGUCCCCGGAUGAGUGUAACUGAAGAAAAAGCAUCGGCUAACUCCGGGCCAGCAGCCGCGGUAAUACAGAGGAUGCGAGCGUUAUCCGGAUUUAUUGGGGUUAAAGGGUGCGGAGGGGGGCUGUUAAGUCAGCGGACAAAGGCCGGGG
rnacentral:rRNA from 1 species